AUUGAACGCUGGCGGCAUGCCUUACACAUGCAAGUCGAACGGCAGCGCGGACUUCGGUCUGGCGGCGAGUGGCGAACGGGUGAGUAAUACAUCGGAACGUACCCUGUUGUGGGGGAUAACUAGUCGAAAGAUUAGCUAAUACCGCAUACGACCUGAGGGUGAAAGUGGGGGACCGCAAGGCCUCACGCAGCAGGAGCGGCCGAUGUCUGAUUAGCUAGUUGGUGGGGUAAAGGCCCACCAAGGCGACGAUCAGUAGCUGGUCUGAGAGGACGAUCAGCCACACUGGGACUGAGACACGGCCCAGACUCCUACGGGAGGCAGCAGUGGGGAAUUUUGGACAAUGGGGGCAACCCUGAUCCAGCAAUGCCGCGUGUGUGAAGAAGGCCUUCGGGUUGUAGAGCACUUUUGUCCGGAAAGAAAUCGCGCUGGUUAAUACCUGGCGUGGAUGACGGUACCGGAAGAAUAAGCACCGGCUAACUACGUG
rnacentral:rRNA from 1 species